UCGUUGAAAACUACUCUCAGGAGAGUAGAACUUUACUCACUUUUAGAUUUCAUGGAAAAUAGAAAAAAGAGAGUGACAGCAUUCUUCUAAACUGAGUGAUUUUUCACUCACACGUUUGAAUUUUGGACAAUACUCAUUUUUGAGUAACUUGGCAUUUUUUCCAAAGUGAGCUGUUUUUCACUCACCCGCUCAAAUUUUACUGCAGAAUUCUGUUUUUGAGUAACAUCAUUCAAAUUUCAUGCCGGUAACCGCCAUUUGUACAAAGUUCUGACUUCUUGCCAAUAAAAUUAUAUUAUACAUAACAAUUUCUGUGAAAUGUUUUUAAAUUAUGGAAAACCUAGGGGAAAACCCCAUCUGUUGUUCAGCAGGUAAGUUUGCUCUUAUUAUCCAACUAGACUGUGGAAAUAACUUUAAAACAAAUUCUUACAGAUAUUCAUCAAGACGGAUGGUAAGGCAGGCAGCCUUCUCUGAUCCCAAACAUGUAGAAAUAUACGCUAUUCUUCUAAAUGCAACCAAUCAUUUAAAAAAGAGGACAAGACUAUGCAUGCGUCGGAGAUUCCGGUGGACCGCGGUUACAGCGUAAGACCACCUGAGGGAUCACCGCAGCCACCGGGAGCCACGAAGGAUAGUUUUUAAUACAUAAUUUACAUCCAACUUUGUAUACAUAGACAUAAAUAAUUGAAUAAAUGUUCAUUUUCGUUGCUUUCUGGAA